GACGAACGCUGGCGGCGUGCUUAACACAUGCAAGUCGAACGGAAAGGCCCUGCUUUUGUUGGGUGCUCGAGUGGCGAACGGGUGAGUAACACGUGAGUAACCUGCCCUUGACUUUGGGAUAACUUCAGGAAACUGGGGCUAAUACCGGAUAGGAGCUCCUGCUGCAUGUGGGGGGUUGGAAAGUUUCGGCGGUUGGGGAUGGACUCGCGGCUUAUCAGCUUGUUUGUGGGGUAGUGGCUUACCAAGGCUUUGACGGGUAGCCGGCCUGAGAGGGUGACCGGCCACAUUGGGACUGAGAUACGGAGCAGACUCCUACGGGAGGCAGUAGUGGGGAACAUUGCACAAUGGGCGGAAGCCUGAUGCAGCAACGCCGCGUGCGGGAUGCCGGCCUUCGGGUUGUAAACCGCUUUCGCCUGUGACGAAGCGUGAGUGACGGUAAUGGGUAAAGAAGCACCGGCUAACUACGUG
rnacentral:rRNA from 1 species